UGUAAUAUUUUUUAAAUGUGCAGAUGACAUAAAGCUAAUUGAGAAUGUGUGUUGUGAGGGAGACAUGAAGUUGUUUCAAAAAGAUUUGGACAAGAUUGUUACAUGGUUCUCCUUCAUUUGAGUCAUGCGCAUUCCACAUGAUCAUAAUUGAAAUGUUGAGCUGUCCGUGGAAAGUCUCAAACAGCAAACCUCACUUCAGCUGAAUAUAUCAAUGAUCACAUCCAUAUCAGAAAGUCUCCUGUCUCCUCUCAUGUAUAGAUUUGCAGAAUUCUUUGAAGAUGGAGGGAGACUAACUGUUCAGGCCGUAACUGUUGCUGUGACAAUCUUUGCCUGCUGUUGCUGCACAGAUAGCUGCAAGGUUCAUGUGCUGGAAAAAUGUCCUAAAAUGUACCUCUCUACAAGGUAGUUCAAAUUGACAGCAUUUCCUCUUCAAUGCUUUUAUUCUGUAAGAGGUAAAGGAACAAUAUGUAAUCAAUGUAUUCAGAAAUACUGUGUAGGAAUGGAAUAUAGUUUCUUUUGCUGAGGAAAAUGAUAGUGAUUAUGUGUCUCAAGUUUAAAUUGAUGUAACUUGCGUUAUUAUGUUAUACACAUCAGGUGAAAAUAA